UAACAAAAAUUUGACUCUGUUCAUAACACAAAGGAAUUGAUGGGGGAAUGACUGUGCUGGCUUGACAAAAAAGUCCAUUGGCCUAGUUAUUAGUGAAGGCGAACGCGGCGGAAAAGCUUAGCUACUAGUUGAAAUGAACGCAGGUCAAAGUCUAGGAGAGCAUGUGCACGUCCUUUCUCUUUCCACCCUCACACCUGUGCACCUAUUGUAGGUCCUCGCGAGAGGACCUAUGUCUACCUACACACCCAACGUAUGUCUAUAGAAUGUGAACCAAACCUAUCGAAAAGUGAAUGGGAGGAGGUCCUUUCCUAAUAGAGGGGCUUGAGCCUUAUUGAACAGAAGGGUCAACCGGACGUCACUUGAUAAAGAGGGCUUGGAAAAUAAUUAUACAACUUUCAGCAACGGAUCUCUUGGCUCUCGCAUCGAUGACGAACGCAGCGAAUCGCGAUAAGUAAUGUGAAUUGCAGAUUUUCAGUGAAUCAUCGAAUCUUUGAACGCACUUUGCGCCCCUUGGUAUUCCGAGGGGCAUGCCUGUUUGAGUGUCAGUGAAUUCAUCAACCAUGUCUUGGACUCGUUCCUAGACAUGGCUUGGACUUGGGGGCUUGCUGGUCUUUCACGAUCGGCUCUCCUUAAAUGCAUUAGCGAAGCAUCCGAGGCUAGUCUUCUUCGGCGUGCAUGGCUUGGACGUGAUAGUGAUAGAUCGUCCUGGCUUGUAGCGUCGAGACAACUCGGGCACUUUGCUUCCAAUCCAUCUGACGGGUCAUCAUCUUACCAGAGGAGACUUUAGUUAUUAGUGGACAUGAACACGGGUUGGGCUAGAAACCCCAUCGCUAUUAGUCGAGACGAACGCAGAGCUCUUUCAAUGGUUAGACGUCCCAUCCGAUUUUUACACCCUUG
rnacentral:misc_RNA from 1 species